AUCAGCAUGGUCUUUUUGUCCUACUAUGGAAUAUUAUUGAUCGCUAAGAGGACCUAUCAACCAUCUUAAAAAGAAACAAAGUUCAAAGUAUGUAACAAAUACAAUUUGCUACAUCUUACACUUCUUCAAUAUAUGGUUUCUACUUCUUGUAGAACUCAUCUUUUAGUAAAAAAGUAAUGUCAUAUACAUACAUAUUUAUUUAGAUAAGAUGUGUUAGAUAGAAAAUAAGUAUAGAUAGAUUUGAUAAUAUCUUGUGACAUAGCUUCUUAGAAACUUUGUAGACAUGUAUUUAGCUUAAUAUAUAUUUGUAGUUGAUUGAUAAGUUAAAAACUUGGCCAAUAAUUUAGCCAUGUAAUCUACAUAUUGGUAGCUUAUGGUAAAAGCUAAUCAUAUGGUGUACAUAUAAGAAACUUAUCUUAUAAGUUAGACAUGUGUUUCAAAAAUUAAACAUGUAUUCGAGGUCCUAUAGAACAUUACUAUGUAGUUUUUAGUUACAUAGUACACAGAGGCAAAAGUAAAGCCAUUGAUAGUGUCUUCAAUAGAGUAUAAUGUCUUCAAUUAAAUGAAGCUAUCAACAUUAACUUGUUCUUGGUCUUGUUUCAAGACUCUCUAAUCUUCUUAACUUUAGAAAUAGCCAUUCUAAAUCAAUAUUAUACUAUCUUUGAAUAAUUAUCUAAUCUUUUUGAGUAAUACAAGAUUAUAUU
rnacentral:lncRNA from 1 species